GAUGUGGCCGUCGCUCCCAGUUUGCCCAGUUGGCCCAGCUGCAGCGGGAACUGGGCCACGAGGCGUUUCCACUGGUGCCACAGCGCUUCUGCAACCGCCCCCGGGGACUGAUGACCGCUCCGACCUUCCCCAUGACGGUGACGCUCAGCCCCGCCCCCGCUGGGGUGGGCCAGGUUCGGGUGGGGUCCCGGCCGGUUCUGGGGGCGGUGGCGGCCGCCAUGGGCGGGGCCCGUUUGGGGGCGCUGGUGCAGGGGGGACCCGCGGGGACAGAGCGUCUGCGGGUGCAGAGGAUCGGGGAC